rnacentral:lncRNA from 1 species
AGUGUCCAUCCGGCUUAAGGUUCAGAGCAGAGUACCGGGUGGUAGCCGGCUAGUGACAGUGUCUAAGGUUCAGAGCAGAGUACUGGGAGGCUAGUGACAGUGUCUAAGGUUCAGAGCAGAGUACUGGGAGGCUAGUGACAGUGUCUAAGGUUCAGAGCGGAGUACUGGGAGGCUAGUGACAGUGUCUAAGGUUCAGAGCAGAGUACUGGGAGGCUAGUGACAGUGUCUAAGGUUCAGAGCAGAGUACUGGGAGGCUAGUGGUGACUGUUUAACAGUCUGAUGACCCGGAGACAGACGCUGUUUCUCAGUUUCUCGGUCCCAGCUUUGAUGCACUUGUUGUGUCUCCGCCUUCCUGAUGGUGCAGGAGGAGAUGGCUGCCAUUUUAC